UGGGGGAAUAUUGCACAAUGGGGGAAACCCUGAUGCAGCGACGCCGCGUGAGUGAAGAAGUAUUUCGGUAUGUAAAGCUCUAUCAGCAGGGAAGAAAAUGACGGUACCUGACUAAGAAGCCCCGGCUAACUACGUGCC
rnacentral:rRNA from 1 species